AUCGCUUCUCGGCCUUUUGGCUAAGAUCAAGUGUAGAUUCUGUUCUUAUCAGUCAAAAUAUGCGCCUAUGAGGGCUACUCCUAAUAAAACUACUCUGGCCCCCACAGGCUUAUAGCAGUGCAAAUCUUUGCAUUCAGUCCGACUUUGAAAGUCUCUGUACCCUAUCACAGUUUCAACACUGUUU